CAGCCGCCGCGGUAAUACGUAGGUGGCAAGCGUUGUCCGGAAUUAUUGGGCGUAAAGGGCUCGCAGGCGGUUUCUUAAGUCUGAUGUGAAAGCCCCCGGCUCAACCGGGGAGGGUCAUUGGAAACUGGGAAACUUGAGUGCAGAAGAGGAGAGUGGAAUUCCACGUGUAGCGGUGAAAUGCGUAGAGAUAUGGAGGAACACCAGUGGCGAAGGCGACUCUCUGGUCUGUAACUGACGCUGAGGAGUGAAAGCGUGGGGAGCGAACAGGAUUAGAUACCCGUGUAGUCCCUGUCUCUUAUAU
rnacentral:rRNA from 1 species